GAUGAACGCUGGCGGCGUGCCUAAUACAUGCAAGUCGAGCGAACAGACGAGGAGCUUGCUCCUCUGACGUUAGCGGCGGACGGGUGAGUAACACGUGGAUAACCUACCUAUAAGACUGGGAUAACUUCGGGAAACCGGAGCUAAUACCGGAUAAUAUAUUGAACCGCAUGGUUCAAUAGUGAAAGACGGUUUUGCUGUCACUUAUAGAUGGAUCCGCGCCGCAUUAGCUAGUUGGUAAGGUAACGGCUUACCAAGGCAACGAUGCGCAGCCGACCUGAGAGGGGGAACGCCCACAGGGGAACUGAACAGCGGCCCAGACCCCUACGGGAGGCAGCAGUAGGGAAUCUUCCGAAAGGGGCGAAAGCCGGACGGAGCAACGCCGGGUGGGGGAAGAAGGUUUUCGGAUCGUAAAACUCUGUUAUUGGGAAAAAAAAAAUGUGAAAGUAACUAGGCAGGUUUUGACGGUACCGAAAAAAAAAGCCGCGGCUAACUAGGU
rnacentral:rRNA from 1 species